AGUAAUUUGGGAAAAUUUGGGCAUAUGCAAUGAACUGAAUUCUGACAAUCCAGAUUAAAAUUUGUAAACCCAGAUCUUUACUGGAACUCUAGGUUGCCUUGUAGCUGCCACUUCCCUCAGCACCUGAGGAAGCACUGCACCUUAAAGCCCAGAUGACUUGAUAUGUACCUUGAAAUACUCAUCACUGAGGCAGACCAUGCAGGGGCCAGUUUCUCCCUGGAAAAGGCACUCUUUGAGCCUCAAAGGAAGUGUAAUAAAAUGUUCAAGUCACAAAUGCCUUUAUAUGAGAGGAAACCAAGACCGUGGACAACAUUGCCAAGAACAUUGACAUCUUAGCUUCGGCAAACUCAAUGAGCAGUGCUGUAUGACCAAAAGCUUUUCAUCCAACGACCUCUUGGAAUCUGCUGGACCAGAUACUCUCAAGAUCCGACUCCUGGCUCCUAACUUUAUUAUAACCUUUUAUAUUAAUAUUUCUCUUUUUCAUUUCAGUCAUCCCCCCUAGAAGAUGAUCAGCAAGAUGCUAAAACUGUUGGGAGCAAGCUCCCCAAAGUCUGGCCAUAAACUGGCCCCAAAACUGGCUAUAAAUAAAAUCUCUGCAGCAAUGUCAGGUCCAUAAUGGCCAUAACGCCCAAGCUGGAAGGUUGUGGGUUUACGGGAAUGAGGGCAAGGAACACCUGGCCCGCCCAGGGUGGAAAACCGCUUAAAGGCAUUCUUAAGCUACAAACAAAAGCCUGAGGGAUCUGUGUCUUAAGGGCGUGUUCCUGCUGCAGUUAACUAGCCCAACCUAUCCAAUUAAUUCGGCCCAUCCCUUCCUUUCCCUUAAGGGAGGCUUUUAGUUAAUUUAAUAUCUAUAGAAACAAUGCUAAUGAC
rnacentral:lncRNA from 10 species